rnacentral:lncRNA from 1 species
CCCUAACUCCAAUUGUAGGUAAGCUUCAUCCGGACUCCUACGGGAGCCAGACCUCGCCCACGACUUCGCCCGCAGGCUCCGCCCGGCCUCCUACGGGAGCCGGACUCUGCCCAUAACUCUACCUGCAGGUAAACUUCGUCCGGACUCAUACGGGAGCCAGACUUCACUACCAAUUUCAAUUGCAGGUAGACUUCGCCCGAACUCCUACGGAAGCCAGACCUCGUCUCCAGCCCCAG